rnacentral:rRNA from 1 species
UACGUAGGGUGCGAGCGUUGUCCGGAAUUAUUGGGCGUAAAGAGCUUGUAGGCGGUUUGUCGCGUCUGCUGUGAAAAUCCGGGGCUCAACCCCGGACUUGCAGUGGGUACGGGCAGACUAGAGUGUGGUAGGGGAGACUGGAAUUCCUGGUGUAGCGGUGGAAUGCGCAGAUAUCAGGAGGAACACCAGUGGCGAAGGCGCUCUGAC